AUACGGAGGGUGCAAGCGUUACUCGGAAUCACUGGGCGUAAAGGACGCGUAGGCGGCUUCAUAAGUCAGGUGUGAAAGCCCACGGCUCAACCGUGGAACUGCACUUGAAACUGUGAUGCUAGAGUCUGGGAGAGGCAGAUGGAAUUGGUGGUGUAGGGGUAUAAUCCGUAGAGAUCACCAGGAAUACCGAUGGCGAAGGCGAUCUGCUGGAACAGUACUGACGCUGAGGCGUGAAAGCGUGGGGAGCAAACAGGAUUAGAAACCCUAGUAGUCC
rnacentral:rRNA from 1 species